AAAGGGUUUUCGGGAUGGUGCCUUAAGGCACAAAUGAGGUUUGAUGGGUUGUAUUGUUUUUACCUUGAAUAAGGAUUUAUGAAAAUAGUUUAUGAUUAGAUUGCACUAAAGUCUAUGGGUAGAGGUGAAUAUUCUAGAUAACAAGUCAAGCGUCUUGCAUCCGAAAUAAUCAGAGUAAGGGUAGGAAAGUUCCAUUCUUAAUCAUUCUCCACCACUUAAGACUCGUGGCGCACAAUACUAAUCGUAGUUUUUAUUCUAUUUUAAAUUUUAUUCUGAAAAUACCGCUUGACAUUGGAUCAAAGGUUUAUUUAUUUGAUUAUGAAAUUGUGUGGUGCAAUAGGUAUGCAAAGUAACCAACAAUAAAGUAAAUGGUCUCAUUGUAAGUGUCGCGGCUGGAAAUUGAUAGAGUCGCCACAAUCCUUUAUUCGUUCCUAAGGAAUAGGAAAAUAAUGAGGAAACCUAAUAACUAAGGGUGAAAUGCUAGGUUCGGGAGUCAAUUAAGUAAGGGGAAGGUACUAGGCACCCCUUACCUCCAUUGUACUCAAUGGGAUCUUCCUCUUAUUCUAGGGUUAGUGUGUUUGCCUAAAAAUGUUUG
rnacentral:lncRNA from 1 species